ensembl:lncRNA
UCUCCUCUGCCCACUGCCGUUUCUGCGGAGAGAGGAUGGGAAAGACGAUAAAAAUGGGGAGGAAAGGUGAAAGGGAUACUUGUUACCUUCAACAAGUUGAUUGUCAUUUAUGAAGUUUUUUUAAUACUUAUCUUCAAUUGAUGAAGAGUUAGUCAUGCCCAUGCUGCAAGACCUGGAUCAGGACCCAAAACUUCCCUAGAACUUUGAGAAUCUUUAUAUCUGGGGGUUUGGUGCAACUACAGAUGGAAGUGAGGAUCAGCCUCUGGGUUUGCACCUGGAUCCAGACAGUUUGUCCCCAACCUGGGGAUAGUUGGAUCUGGCAGUUUGCUACAAGGCUAGUUGAUUUUUAUAUAUAUAAUGAUCUGUAUGCAUUUUUACAUUAAAAAUAUGAAAGCUUGUGCUUGUAGAUAAUAUAUUAAAAAACUAAAUAAAAAAGAAAAAGGAAAUAUAGUCUUUUCUGUACUGAACUCUCACGUAUUGAUCUUCCAUUAGAUGUCUCCAGUGUUCCUUCCAGCUAUUAAGGGGCCAGUUCCAAAAGCCCAGAUUUGGUUCUUACUUAACCUUUAUCUAAGGAAAACAAACAGUGAAUUUUACCAGAAUAAGCACUGUAAAAUUUGGAUCAUUUUACUUGAACUUAUUUGGCUGUUAGUCCUGGAAUAGAGAAGUCAAACAGCAUCUACAGUGAGGCACAGCUCCAAAUGUCCUUGCUAACUAUUACAAGGCUGAUGAAAAAAAGUUACAGGGUAAUUACCUAACCUCAGUGAAACCCACCAAAAGCUGUCCUGCCAACUAAAUAACACAGACCUUGAUCUCAAGCUUCUGAGGUGAAAUCCUGGGAUAAGAAGCCUGGGAGAUUUAUGGUGGUGGUUUGGACAGAGGCAACUUUUCACCUGCUGCCAACUACACCCAUGUUCAAAGGAUAAUGCAGUGUUAAAUCUGAAGAGGAGGUACAUAAUAUGUACCUUAUGAAAGGUACAAUAUAUGAGUGGUAAAUAAUCAGAGUGUGGGUAUUAAGCUGUAGCAGAGGAAGCUUCAGCACUGAAGAGGGGAGCUGUAAUCCAUUCUUUUCCCCCCAAACCUGUGCCAACCAAGUAACCCAAAGUGUGGUGAACAGGAGUUGGGGGAUAAGAAUGUCACAACAAGCAGAGCACUGCAUAAAACCUGGGUGCAGAAUCUAUGCUGGGAGGUGAAACCUCCCAACACCAGUCACUGUCUGCCUCUGGAGCACUGCAAAGCAGCCUUGGGUUCUGUCAAGCCACACUAUAACUUGCUCCAGUCAAAAUAAUUUCUCCUGCAAAGUAGCUGCAGUCAUAAAGGCUUUGCAUGAACAGUCUUGGGGUUCCUUUUAUCUUUUUCUUUAAUGGCUCAAUACAUAUGCAAAUCUUAAGUAGAAAAAGAAAAAGAGGCUUUAAUUAAAAGAGGCUUCUUGGCAUUUUGAUGUAUCUGCCUUUAUGCUCUUUGCAAAAUUAAACCUAUAAUGAAAACAGUGUCAUCUUAGAAACUCUGGUGUUAUGCAUUUUAUUUCCUCUACAGAUGCCAGGCACUAAUUACCUCAGGCUAUGAAAAUUCAAAGCAGCAGCUUGUCCAGUGCUGUGCAAGGCUUCUAGGAGGUGCUAAUGGUGUGAGGCCAGCUCAGCCUGGUUUCUGCAAGCACCAUUGCCCAUGGGGAAGGCUGUUAAUGCAGCUGGCACUGGCAGAUUCCUGGGGCAGGACCCUGCUGGCCCUGGUGGGGUUUGUACGGGAUGGGUCAAGCCCCUGGUCCCCAACUUGUGGAGAACACACCCCAAUGGCCAAUUCCCCUCAUCCACCUGAAGGAUUUCCUCCUUCUUCAGCCUGAAGUAAACUGGCAGGAAACCCUAAGUCCACACUACUACUGGCUGUUUAACAAACCCGAGAAUUUGAGGGGAGUUUGGCCUUUUUGGACUGGUCUCCUUCAUCUCCAGCUUGAUUCCCCAAAGCAGAAUUUGCCUUUUGCUGUUUUCCAUCAUAUUAAAUGAAGUAAUUUUGAGUUUUGUUUGCUUGUUUGGGGUUUUUUUUGAAUGGUAGCUGUCAAUAGACUCUGAUACUCAUGGGCAAAGAGGCUGUAUCCCUUCUCAGAGGUCACUCUCACAAGGAUGGAGUAUUUGCUAAUGCCUCUGGAUAUUAAUUAUUCACACUGAACACAGCAGCUCUGAAGAGUUGGAAAUAAUUUUUUUUUCAAUAAGGGAACCUCUCAUCAUUGUAAUACAGAUGUCUGUGUCAGAUACCAGACCUAAACCAGACUGAAAUAUUCUGCAUCACUAGGAACAGCCAUGGCCUGUCAUGAAAUAUUAACAUGCAGAAUAAUAAAAAAAAAAAUUGAAAACAAUUUACAGGCAGACUUCAAAUUAUACCUCACAGAAAAAACGUGCACAUUCUUUCCUUUUAAAUUUUAUGUGAUAUCAGGAAUUUACAGAACCUCAUUUCAAAACCCAACAAGUUCUGGAAACUAAGAAUGUAUCAGUAAUGUAAAAAAUAAGGGGUUUUAUCAAACUCCUUUGUCACUACACAUGAUUGAACUCUCCACUCUGUUUCCUCUAGCCUGGUCAAAACUGUCAUUACUACAAUGAAUAUCAAGGAGAUCCAGAUGGAACUUUUGAUAUUAAAAAAAAAAAAAA